rfam:Myotis davidii contig24575, whole genome shotgun sequence.
CCCUCCUACAAAGGAAUGUCUGUGGUUUCCUAUCUUUGGACACGUAAGAAUUGGAGGCAAAGAAAUGUGGACUUGGAGAAGUCUGGAACCAGCUUGCUCCAUGCAGGCUCAAGAUCAACCAUCCCACAUAG